CCAACAUGCUGUCGGCGUUUCCGACCCGCCUGGCUCAAUCGCUGGGGGCAGAGGUCGACGGACCUCAGAGAGCAAAGGUAUCCGGGCAGAGCCUGACGCAGAGUGUGUGUGUAUGUGUGUGUGUGCUUCCAGAUCGGCCACAGGUCUCAGAGUGUGUGUGUAUGUGUGUGUGUGCUUCCAGAUUGGCCACAGGUCUCAGAGUGUGUGUGUGUGUGUGUGUGUGUGUGUGCUUCCAGAUCGGCCACAGGUCUCAGAGUGUGUGUGUGUGUGUGUGUGUGUGUGUGCUUCCAGAUCGGCCACAGGUCUCAGAGUGUGUGUGUGUGUGUGUGUGUGUGUGUGCUUCCAGAUCGGCCACAGGUCUCAGAGUGUGUGUGUGUGUGUGUGUGUGUGUGUGCUUCCAGAUCGAGUGUGUGUGUGUGUGUAUGUGUGUGUGUGCUUCCAGAUCGGCCACAGGUCUCAGAGUGUGUGUGUGUGUCCAUGUGUGUGUGUGCUUCCAGAUCGGCCACAGGUCUCAGAGUGUGUGUGUGUG
ensembl:lncRNA